ACUCACUGUCCUCCUAGCAGUCGUCCUCCCACUUUCCAGCGUGGUCAAAAGUUCCCUUCCUCUCUCUCUGAGAAGGUAGAUAAACAACUUCACUUUUGUUGUCUUUUUUUGCACCGGGCAUUGUGAGGUCUGUGUACAAUGUGAACUCCUCUUUCCAACUUUUCCAUGUCUUCGACAAGUUGGCAGAGUCCCAAACUAAUGUGGUCGGCGGCUUCAAGCCUUCCAUCAAGAAGUCCGCCGGUUUCCGAUCCUUACCGUUGUGCUCCGACAUCGGCCAGUCACUCGCUCGCACUCCCAGGCUAGGCUAACAAGCUAGCGCCACUUUUCUUUCGUGGCAAAACUCUUCGCCUUGGCUAAGUUCGACUGCUGCUACCAUGUUUCACUCUGUUCCGUUUACUCUGUCUGAAACCAUACAGAGUCGACCAUAUAGUUUCUCAGUUGAACUUUAUUAAACGUUGCGCAUCGGCAAACACAUGCUAUUGCAGUCAAAGUUUGACCUGGCGAGUGUCACACUCUAAUCGGCCCCCCAGGAACAUAUGUUAUAAAUGUGGUAGGACAGCCCAGUCCGUCUCCACUCAUGUUGUGUGUAUUGGAUCAGAUCAGUGCAGCUGGGAGUAAUCAUCCUAAUUCACCUUGCUUGCUGGGCGGUGCCACACCGAGUUAUAUCUGGGAGAGGGCUGCGCGUCUUGCACGUGCAUCCUCUUACCUCUGUGUCACAUCUGCAGCAUGGUUUGUUGUUGUGGAUGUGUGAACCCACGGGCGGUCUUGAGACGCUGGCUGUCGAGCUUUCUCUAUUGUCAGCAGAGUCGGCCUGUAUCCUGGCCGAAGCCUGGGAGUCGGGUGUAAUAAUCCACGUGCCAUGUUGGAUUACUGAGUGAUCAUGCUGCAUUCUUCCGCGGCUGUCUCCCCUGUUGCCUGAGAAGCUGCGUCUUCACUGACAGGUGGCUCUACCUUUGAAGUGGGCUGCUGCUGUUCUGUCUGUGGGUUCACCGCGGCAAGCUCUCCGCUCAUCGGAAAUUAUUUUAUUGCUUUUCUUGUAUGAUGUUUAAAAAAAAUAAUAAUAAAAACAAUCUUGGUGUGCGCGUGCCUACUGCCUAGCAUGCCUGUUAUUGUUAUUAUUAUUAUUAGUAGUAGUAGUAAAAUUAUUAGUAUUAGAAUUACUAGUAGUAGAAUUAUUAGUAUUAGAAUUAUUAGUAUUAGAAUUAUUGUCUACAGAUUUUGGCUACCUUUAUUGUUAGUUGUUUAUUCAUCAUUUAUUGUGAUUUUCAUUCAUUUAUUGUUAUUUUUUUGUGAUUGUGUGUUUAGUUAUCCGGUUAUCUUUUUUUGGUUUUGUAGAUUUUGUUUUUUUUUCUUUUUCUGGUUUAUUGGGUUGACUAGGUGAGUGAGUAAGUGGCAUAUGAAGGCAUAAUCGGCCUUGGUGGUGACCUUCUCGGCCCAGCAUAGUGUGGUGUCGGGGCAGUUUUUAGAGAUCUAUAUAUGUUUGCCUCUUUUCCUGUGACUAACAGUUUGCCUCUGUGAUAGAGUGAUUGUGUCACGGUUUGGAACGUAACCUUAGUAUUGGCUACGUGUUCUCACCCGGGACUGUUAUGAUGAGGAACACACCUGUGGAUUCCCGCCGGCAUGUGCUGUGAAUGAAUGAGGGUUUACUAAAAAGUUCUGAAACUGUUACCAAGUGUGUGUGCAUUAUUACUUAAGGUUAUAACAGCCUCUUUUCCCUGGACAGGAGCUGUUGGGCCAGGUGGUGGGUGGCUGACUGAUCCCCCUGCGGUGGUGGUCCCUUCACUCCCUGUACAGCAGUGCACUUGGGUGUCCAUCAAUGGUUUUGUUCACGUGUGGUGUGUCGCAUCAGGACCCUUCCCCUCCCCCUUCAGUUAGUCAUCGCUGCCUGGUAAGCCCUCAGCCCUGUGCCUAGUUCCUGUAUUUUGGUGGCAAGCUUAACUAAGCCUGGGAGGAGGGGGGCCCUGGAUGAUUAGAUCAAUAUUGUGCCACUUACUACUGAGUUAUUUCUUGGCAUCACCACCAAGAGAUUUUAAGUGAGGGAAGAUUGUAAAUUGUUAAAUAUUGUUAAUAAAUUCCAUUUUGU